GGCUGGUCCAAAGGUAGUGAGUUAUCUCACUUAAUUAUUCAGUGAGUUACAGAUUGAACUCCUUAUUCUACUCUUUACCCCUGUCUCACUACUGCACUUGACUAGUCUUAA
rnacentral:Y_RNA from 1 species